AGUGAACGUUGGCGGCGUGCCUAACACAUGCAAGUCGAACGAUCCUUAAGUGGCUUGCCAUUUAAGGAGAGUGGCGAACGGGUGAGUAACACGUGAGUAACCUGCCCUCGAGCGGGGAACAACCCUUCGAAAGGAGGGCUAAUACCGCAUAAUACUCUGUAGCGCAUGCUAUCAGAGUCAAAGCUUUCGAGCGCUUGAGGAUGGGCUUGCGGCCUAUUAGCUAGUUGGUAGGGUAACGGCCUACCAAGGUGACGAUGGGUAGCCGGCCUGAGAGGGUGUACGGCCACACUGGGACUGCGACACGGCCCAGACUCCUACGGGAGGCAGCAGUGAGGAAUUUUGCGCAAUGGGCGAAAGCCUGACGCAGCGACGCCGCGUGGAGGAUGACGGCCUUCGGGUUGUAAACUCCUGUCAGAGGUGAAGAAAUCCCCCCUUCGGGGGGGGCUGACGGUAACCUCAGAGGAAGCCCCGGCUAACUACG
rnacentral:rRNA from 1 species